UAGGCUGCUUUCUCCAUCGACAGACUAUGUCCUACCAUCAGGUCGUCGAAGCCUUUCCCCACAAGCCAACUUACUGUCCCGAGGAGUACCCCCUUUCCUUGAAAGGGAUCCCCCCAACACCAGGGCUAACAGCCCCAUGGCUAAGGGGGGCUGCAGAGAGUUGCUGGCACCAGUUAAAAGCAGCCUGUACAAACGGGCCAAGUCUGCACUGGGUAAUAGGGAAAAGAGAUUGCCGCAAUGGGGCCAACAAUCAAAUAGAGCUGGCUCCUCUUCAAAAUUUAGCCUUUCUCAAAGGGCCAAGGUCCUCCUGUUCUCCAGGCCAUCUUCCGAAUAUGCCCUGAUACUGGGAGGGAAAAAGCAGGUGAUUGCUCCCAUGACAGGUCAGGGUAAACAGGAAGUCAUGCCCAUUUGUCCACCUCCUGUCUCAGUCUGGAUAGGAGACUCAGUCGCCCAUUGGUUUAGGGGACUCCACCAAGGCUCCAGGCAGGAGGGGCUCUCGCCUACCUGAACAAUGCAGCCAGCCUUUGUCUAGGGAUGGGGCAGGGGGGAAGGAGGCCUGUCAGAGAUAGCAAAGAAAGGCCUGAGCCAAGCCCUGGCCUGGAGGAGCUCCCAGUCUAAGGGGAUGAUUCCUUCCACACAGCUCUGCACAAAUACCCAUUUUACAUGAAAUAGAGGAAGGAAUAAACUUGUCCUUUAUGCUUCCCUAUAUGUGAAAGGAGGGACAGGAAAAGGAGGGACAGGAAAAGGAAGUUAGCAAGUAGGAGAGGGUCUACCUCUAAGCCAAAGGCCAGGCUUCUCUGAGUCCAUCUCUGCUCCCUGUAGUGCUGCUCUCUCUGACCCCCUCCCUCUUCUAUUUCCUGAUUUCUCUCCCUUGGCUCAUAGGCUGCCUUCUUCAUCCACAGACUUUGCCCCACCAUUGGGUCGCUGAAGUCUCUCCCCACAAGCCAACUUACUGCCCCAAGGAGUACCCUGUUUACUUGAAAGGGAUCCCCCCAUCACCAGGUCUAACAGCCCCAUGGGCAACGAGGACUCUAAAGAGUUACUGGCGCCAGUUAAAAGCAGCCUCUACAAAAGGGUCAAGUCAGCCAAGAGAAAUCGGAUUGCCCUGAUGGGAGACAACAAUCAAAUAGAGCUGGCUCUUCUUCAAAAACUGAGCCUCUGCCAAAGGGCCAAGGCCCUCCUGUUCUCCAGGCCAUCUUCCCGAAUAUGCCCUGAUAAUGGGAGGGAAAAAGUAGAUGUUGGCUCCAUGCCAGGCCAGGGGAACCAGGAAGCCACUGCCCAUUUGUCCACCUCCUGUCUCAGUCUGGAUAGGAGACUCAGUCGCCCAUCGGCUUAAGGGACUCCACCAAGGCCCCAGGCAGGAGGGGCUCUCGCCUACCUGAGCAAUGCAGCCAGCCUUGGUCCUAGGGGAUGGGGCAGGGGGGAAGGAGGCCUGACAGGAUACAAAGAAAGGCCUGAGCCAGGCCCUGGCCUGGAGGAGCUCCCAGUCUAAGGGGAUGAUUCCUUGCACACAGCUCUGCACAAAUACCCGUUUUACAUGAAACAAGAGGAAGAAACAAACUUGUCCUUUAUGCUUCUCUAUGUGUGAAAGGAAAAAGAGGAAAAGGAGGGACAAGAAAAGGAAGUUAUCAAGUAGGAGAGGGUCCAGCCCUAAAAUCAAAGGCCAAGCUUCUCUGAGUCCAUCUCUGCUCCCUGUAGUGCUGCUGUCUUUGCCACCCACCCUCUUCUAUUUCCUGAUUUCUCUCCCUUGGCUCAUAGGCUGCCUUUUUCAUCCACAGACUUGGCCCCACUGUCAGGUCGCUGAAGCCUCUCCCCACAGGCCAAGGCCAACUUACUGCCCCGAGGAGUACCCCCUUUCCUUGAAAGGGAUCCCCCCAACACCAGGGCUAACAGCCCCAUGGCUAAUGAGGGCUGCAAAGAGUUGCUGGCACCAGUUAAAAGCAGCCUGUACAAACGGGCCAAGUCUGCACUGGGUAAUAGGAGAAAACGGAUUGCCGCAAUGGGGGCCAACAAUCAAAUAGAGCUGGCUCCUCUUCAAAAAGUUAGCCUUUCUCAAAGGGCCAAGGUCCUCCUGUUCUCCAGGCCAUCUUCCCGAAUAUGCCCUGAUACUGGGAGGGAAAAAGCAGGUGAUUGCUCCAGGACAGGUCAGGGUAAACAGGAAGUCACUGCCCAUUUGUCCACCUCCUGUCUCAGUCUGGAUAGGAGACUCAGUCGCCCAUCGGCUUAAGGGACUCCACCAAGGCCCCAGGCAGGAGGGGCUCUCGCCUACCUGAGCAAUGCAGCCAGCCUUGGUCUAGGGGAUGGGGCAGGGGGGAAGGAGGCCUGUCAGGAUACAAAGAAAGGCCUGAGCCAGGCCCUGGCCUGGAGGAGCUCCCAGUCUAAGGGGAUGAUUCCUUGCACACAGCUCUGCACAAAUACCCGUUUUACAUGAAACAAGAGGAAGAAACAAACUUGUCCUUUAUGCUUCUCUAUGUGUGAAAGGAGGAAGAGGAAAAGGAGGGACAGGAAAAGGAAGUUAGCAAGUAGGAGAGGGUCCAGCUCUAAGCCAAAGGCCAGGCUUCUCUGAGUCCAUCUCUGCUCCCUGUAGUGCUGCUCUCUUUGCCCCCCUCCCUCUUCUAUUUCCUGAUUUCUCUCCCUUGGCUCAUAGGCUGCCUUCUUCAUCCACAGACUUGGCCCCACUGUCAGGAGGCCGAAGCCUCUCCCCACAGGCCAAGGCCCCCAGGAGACGAGUUGUUCCUUUGCUGGAAAAGUACCCGCCAACACUCUUAAAAUAACAGUCCUCAAUGAGAGGGCUGUACAGUCUUGCCUCCACUAAAAAAUAACAGGAGCCUGAGCCAACGGACCAGUCCGCCAUGUUCUCAAGGCAAGGCCAGAUUGCUUCUCUGUGGGAAAACGACACCCCAAAAUCAAGUGCAAACACUCCAAUUGUUCCACAAAAGGCUGAUUGUGAGGGCUGCAAGGAGUUGGCUCCACUGAAAAACAGAAGUCUCUGCCAAAUGGGCCAAGUGUGCUGUUUAUAUGAGGAAAGAUCGGGUUUCCCCUCUUUGGGAAAUGACACCCCCCCCAGACUCGAAGGCAAAAGUCUUAUCUGUGCUGUGCUCUUACAAAAGGAGGAUGUGAGGGCUGCAAGGAUUCUGCUCCAAUGAUCACCAGGAGCAUGUGCCAAUGAAUGGGCCAUGGUGCUCCUCUUCCCCAGUCGAGGUCGAAUUGCCCCAAUUGAUGGAAAUUCACCAAGCCACACUCCAAACGCACUGACCCAAAAACAAUAUGUGCCCUUCACAGAGUUGUCUCCCCUGCCCAACAGAAGCCUCUGCCAAUGGGAAAAGGCCGUCGUAUUCCACGAUCGACAUCUAGUUGCCACUUCAGGGAGAAAGACCCUUCACACUGACCAAGCCACACUCUGACACAACUGACAUCAAAGGAAGAAUGAGUGCCCUGCACAGAGUUGUCUUCACUACCCAGCAGAAGCUUUUGCCAAUGGGCCAAGGACACCAUCUUCCCUAGUCGAGGUCGAGUUGCUCCUUUCUGGGAGAAAGACCCCUUAAACACCCCUUACUUCCACCACAACUGACAUUUGAAGCUGAAUGUCGGCCCUCCACAGACUUGGCUGCUGCCCAGCAGAAAUCUGCACUAAGGGCCAAGGCUCUCCUCUUCCCCAGUCGAUCUCAGCACAUUUCCCCUGAAAACUUGGGGGAAGAGAUGGCUCCCAUAAACCUCCAGCAUUCACUGUGGUGCCAGUAGCUGGGCAGGCCUGGGCAGUCCCUACCCCUGGAAGAGGCCGGUCUCUGGGCUUACCAAUGACCUCCCUUGCUUGCCAUGAGAGAUCAAACAGGAAGCCACAGCAUCCUCCUGUCAGCCCCCUCCUCCCUCAGGCUGCAGCACUUGCCUGCCCCAGGCUUUAGGGACUCCAGCCAAAAGCCCCAGGAAGAGGCUCAGCCACCCUUACAAAGGAAAAUUGCAAACACCAGUCCACCCGGUUCACCAGAUAGAUGAAGAUGCACAAAUUGAGAAUCAAGAAUUGCUAAUUGAAUGUGAAGUUCCAGCCAAUCUUGGUCUCCAGAUCUCUGACUAAUUGGAUGCUCUAAACAGGAAAGAUAUUGGUUGUCCUAUUUGCACAGUGUCUUAAAAAUUAAAAAUUGAAUAUAAUUUUAAUUUUUAGUGUUUAGCAAAUUUAUUUUUAAUAAGCAUUGCUUUAUGAAUCAUGUUGGGAGAAGAAAAUCAGAGCAAAAGGAAGAACCAUGGGAGAAAGAAAAAGAAAAUAAAAUAAGUGAACAUAUAUUGCUUUACAUUCUUUCUAUUUGGUUCUUUUUCUGAAAGCAGAUGGCAUUUUCUGUCUAGUCUAUUGGAAUUGCUUUGGAUCACUAAAGCACUAAGAUCAAUUCUUUCCUAGUUGACCAUCACAAAUUCUUACUGUUAUUUUUUAUAAAUUAUUCUUUCUUCUGCUUACUCCACCCAACAUCAUUUCGGGUAAAUCAUUCCAGACCUUGCUAAAAUCAGCUUGUUCAUCAUUUUUUUAUAUAAUACCAAUAUUCCCUUGCCUUCACAUACCAUCAUAUCUUGUUCAGCCAUUCCCCACCUGAUGCUUAUCCAUUUCCCAAUUCUUUGCUACCACAAAAACAAGCUGUUAAGAAACAAUUUUGCA
rnacentral:lncRNA from 1 species